rnacentral:rRNA from 1 species
AUUGAACGCUGGCGGCAUGCUUUACACAUGCAAGUCGAACGGUAACAGGCCGCAAGGUGCUGACGAGUGGCGAACGGGUGAGUAAUGCAUCGGAACGUGCCCAGUCGUGGGGGAUAACUACUCGUAAGAGUAGCUAAUACCGCAUACGAUCUAUGGAUGAAAGCGGGGGACCGUAAGGCCUCGCGCGAUUGGAGCGGCCGAUGUCAGAUUAGGUAGUUGGUGGGGUAAAGGCUCACCAAGCCAACGAUCUGUAGCUGGUCUGAGAGGACGACCAGCCACACUGGGACUGAGACACGGCCCAGACUCCUACGGGAGGCAGCAGUGGGGAAUUUUGGACAAUGGGCGCAAGCCUGAUCCAGCAAUGCCGCGUGCAGGAAGAAGGCCUUCGGGUUGUAAACUGCUUUUGUACGGAACGAAACGGCUCUGGUUAAUACCCGGGGCUAAUGACGGUACCGUAAGAAUAAGCACCGGCUAACUACGUG